UACGAAGGGGGCUAGCGUUGCUCGGAAUUACUGGGCGUAAAGCGCGCGUAGGCGGACCUGCAAGUCGGGGGUGAAAGCCCGAGGCUCAACCUCGGAACUGCCUUCGAUACUGCGGGUCUCGAGUCCGGGAGAGGUGAGUGGAAUUCCUAGUGUAGAGGUGAAAUUCGUAGAUAUUAGGAAGAACACCAGUGGUGAAGGCGGCUCACUGGCCCGGUACUGACGCUGAGGCGCGAAAGCGUGGGGAGCAAACAGG
rnacentral:rRNA from 1 species